ACCGCGGUUAAACCAAGAUGAUCAAGUCAUAUAACUUCGGUGAAAAAACAGUUAAAUUAAAUUCAUGUUUAUAAAAUGUCUAUAGAAAAGUAAAAUUUGGUCAUAGACAAGAAAUCUAGCUUAAACUUAAAUAUUGAAGCUGUGAAAGCCUCGAGGGAAACUGGGAUUAGAUACCCCAUUAUUCUUGGAUGUAAACUGAUUUUUAUCUACCAGAGUACUAUGAAUUAAAUAUUUAAAACUUAAAGGGCUUGGCGGUGUUUUAGACCUCUCAGGGGAACCUGUCUCAUAAUCGACAAUCCACGCUAAACCUAACCCUUUUUUGUAUAUCAGCUUGUAUACCGUCGUCGUCAGGUAACUUUUUAGAAAAAAGAAGUUAGCAAAAAAAUAAAAUGGGUUUUCACGUCAGAUCAAGGUGCAGCUAAUAAAAGGGGGAGGAUGGGUUACAAUUAUAAAAUCGUAAUAACGGAAAGUUGUUUGGAACAAAAACAAGAAGGAGGACUUGAAAGUAAGAUAAAAUAUAUAAAUGUUCUGAAUAAGGCUCUGAAACGUGCACACAUCGCCCG
rnacentral:rRNA from 1 species